rnacentral:lncRNA from 1 species
GAAAUAAUAAACUCUAAAAGUGUAAAAUCGAACCAAAAUCGACUCAAAGCUUCUUCAACACCACCAAUGAAGUGUUCUUGAUGUUGAGCUCAGAUUUGUGCCACACCGGAUCAUGCACCGUCGUCCACGGGAAUGGCAAUGGAUAUACCGAGAAAGGAUCCGCCGGAAGCCAACAAGAAUUUCGCCAGAGUUAUGGAAAGCUCCCACUUGGUUAUCUCUCUAUGCUCUCUCUCAAAUGUUAUGCCAAGUCCAAGUAGAGAGAAUGAAGAGAUCUUGAAAUUAUAGAGUCAAUUCAUUUGAAUUCAAAAUUCAAAUAUUGUACCAUGGUCUAGAGAGUGACAACACUAGUAUAGGUAAUUGACCACUAGAUUAAAUCCAACCAAGUCACAUUCUCUAGACCAAUCAACUUGCACCAAUACUAUGUUGUGAUCCACCUUUCAAAUCUUCACCUUGGACCACAUAAUAUCCAUCGCCAAAUUCCCC